rnacentral:rRNA from 1 species
UACGUAGGGGGGCAAGCGUUGUCCGGAUUUAUUGGGCGUAAAGAGCGUGUAGGCGGCCAUUCAGGUCAGCUGUGAAAACUCGAGGCUCAACCUCGAGACGUCGGUUGAAACCGUUUUGGCUAGAGUCCGGAAGAGGAGAGUGGAAUUCCCGGUGUAGCGGUGAAAUGCGCAGAUAUCGGGAAGAACACCCGUGGCGAAGGCGGCUCUCUGGGACGGUACUGACGCUGAGACGCGAAAAGCGUGGGGAGCGAACAGG